rnacentral:misc_RNA from 1 species
UACGUAGGUGGCGAGCGUUGUCCGGAUUUAUUGGGUUUAAAGGGUGCGUAGGCGGCCUUGUAAGUCAGUGCUGAAAUAUCCCGGCUUAACCGGGAGGGUGGCAUUGAUACUGUGAGGCUUGAGUACAGACGAGGUAGGCGGAAUUGACGGUGUAGCGGUGAAAUGCAUAGAUAUCGUCAAGAACACCGAUAGCGAAGGCAGCUUACUAGGCUGUAACUGACGCUGAUGCACGAAAGUGUGGGGAUCAAACAGG